rnacentral:rRNA from 1 species
GGGUUGUGAGGUUAAGCGACUAAGCGUACACGGUGGAUGCCCUGGCAGUCAGAGGCGAUGAAGGACGUGCUAAUCUGCGAUAAGCGUCGGUGAGGUGAUAUGAACCGUUAUAACCGGCGAUUUCCGAAUGGGGAAACCCAGUGUGUUUCGACACACUAUCAUUAA